CCUACGGUGGGCUGCAGUGGGGAAUAUUGGACAAUGGGCGAAAGCCUGAUCCAGCCAUGCCGCGUGUGUGAAGAAGGCCUUCGGGUUGUAAAGCACUUUCAGUGGGGAAGAAAGCCUUGGGGCUAAUACCCUCGAGGAAGGACAUCACCCACAGAAGAAGCACCGGCUAACUCCGUGCCAGCAGCCGCGGUAAUACGGAGGGUGCGAGCGUUAAUCGGAAUUACUGGGCGUAAAGCGCGCGUAGGCGGUCUGAUAAGCCGGUUGUGAAAGCCCCGGGCUCAACCUGGGAACGGCAUCCGGAACUGUCAGGCUAGAGUGCAGGAGAGGAAGGUAGAAUUCCCGGUGUAGCGGUGAAAUGCGUAGAGAUCGGGAGGAAUACCAGUUGCGAAGGCGGCCUUCUGGACUGACACUGACGCUGAGGUGCGAAAGCGUGGGUAGCAAACAGGAUUAGAUACCCGAGUAGUC
rnacentral:rRNA from 1 species